GUAAACGAUGUCGACUUGGAGGUUGUGCCCUUGAGGUGUGGCUUCCGGAGCUAACGCGUUAAGUCGACCGCCUGGGGAGUACGGCCGCAAGGUUAAAACUCAAAUGAAUUGACGGGGGCCCGCACAAGCGGUGGAGCAUGUGGUUUAAUUCGAUGCAACGCGAAGAACCUUACCUGGUCUUGACAUCCACGGAAGUUUUCAGAGAUGAGAAUGUGCCUUCGGGAACCGUGAGACAGGUGCUGCAUGGCUGUCGUCAGCUCGUGUUGUGAAAUGUUGGGUUAAGUCCCGCAACGAGCGCAACCCUUAUCCUUUGUUGCCAGCGGUCCGGCCGGGAACUCAAAGGAGACUGCCAGUGAUAAACUGGAGGAAGGUGGGGAUGACGUCAAGUCAUCAUGGCCCUUACGACCAGGGCUACACACGUGCUACAAUGGCGCAUACAAAGAGAAGCGACCUCGCGAGAGCAAGCGGACCUCAUAAAGUGCGUCGUAGUCCGGAUUGGAGUCUGCAACUCGACUCCAUGAAGUCGGAAUCGCUAGUAAUCGUGGAUCAGAAUGCCACGGUGAAUACGUUCCCGGGCCUUGUACACACCGCCCGUCACACCAUGGGAGUGGGUUGCAAAAGAAGUAGGUAGCUUAACCUUCGGGAGGGCGCUUACCACUUUGUGAUUCAUGACUGGGGUGAAGUCGUAACAAGGUAACCGUAGGGGAACCUGCGGUUGGAUCAC
rnacentral:rRNA from 1 species